rnacentral:lncRNA from 1 species
UUUUUUUUUUUUUUUUUGUCAAUUGACACCAUUUGUUUUAUCUAGGGGACAUACCCAAUGGGAAUCAAACCGAUGUAUUACGCAUCUAUAUGAAUUUGGAAAAAUAUUAUUGACCGAUAUAUUAUGCAUCCGUAUGAAUUUGGAGAAAUCAUAUUGUGAUAAAAUCAGGUAAGAUUUAACUCUUAACUUUUUAUACCACCAAGAUUUUAAAUCAUUGGUGAUUGCCAACAAUCCAAACGAUUGUUGAAUAACAACUCGCAGGCUAUGAUAUAUAUAUAUAUAUAUGUAUAUCUUUUGGAUAAAAACAGCAUCAUUCAUUAAAUUUAUAUUAAUAAUAGAAAUUACAUCAAUCAUACAUGGAUACAAACACAGCUGUGAAGAACAGAACUAGAUACUACAAUCUAAAAGUCAAGAGAAUAUUACAGUAUAAAACUCGAAGAAUAUUUAAAAGAUAAAACGCUUAUUGUCCCAUGAUCAUGCGUGCAUGCCUCCAACCGCAUCGCUUACUAGAAAUUUCUUUGUUUUAUUCUUUUUUUCAAAUUUCUCCUGUCAUAUGAUGGAAUUGCUGGGGGAUAUUUGCCAGCGCGAAUUGGUCUUGUUUUCCUCAGAAAAUCAAUAUCCAUAGUCAACCUUCUGGGAAAAUUGAUUUUUUUUGGACUCUUCUCAAGUUCUCAUGUAAUUUGGCAUCAAAUGAUACGUACUGUGAAAAUUAAAAUGCACCCGAAUCUGCGUCAAUUAAUGUUAUGCGUACAUUUUGUCUCUAGAUAUUUCCCUAACAUUGUCGUUUUCUUUUUUCAACGUUAAUGAUACGUACGUUUUCCCUCACAUUAUCACACGACCAUAUUAAUAGCCAUUAGAGUUCGUCUCCUUCGGUUCAUGCCUUCCAAGAAUUCCAGCUUAUGGUGAGGGAUGUAGUAACAAAUUUUCUCUGGAAUUCAUAAGUGGCUUUAACGUAUUAAUCUAGUGGCCGUUGUAGAAGAAACUGUUUGGUUGCCUGAAAAAUGCAUCAAUCAUUGAUGCAAAUGAAAGAAAAGAAAUCAUUGAUGCAUAUGCAAACGCAAGUGCUAAUCUCAAUUUCUGCACAUCAGCAGAAAGAGAACGACAAUAAAGAAAAUAGCCAAAUAGACCAAUAAGGGUGGGUUGAUAGGCGAUAUAAAUGAUCUCCCAGAUAUCAAACUUGGUUCAUUGCGCUCCCCAAGUUAGGGCUUUUUUGGGAAUUUGAUUAAAGCAUCAUAGGAUAUAUAUUUAUAUAUAUUAGCUGAAAAAGAUAUAUUGGAGAUCACAAGCUGGGUUGAGCUCUUAUUGAUGUUCUUUUUAAUGUUCGCUCCCUUUUUCGCAUUAAACCAAUGACUAUCUCGAUUUGGAUCUAUUGCACGGGCCAUUUCCAUCGAUUUUUUGAAGAAAAAUCAAAUUAUCUGCAUAAAGCCUUUACAUCAUAAAUACAUUUUCCAACCUACCUUUUUAUAUUUCCAAUCACCUUUUUAUUUCACAUACAUCACAUCACAGAAAGUGAUACAGUAAUUAUUUUAAAUAGUAUUUCAAAUAAUACUCUAUCCAAACAAACCCGAAAAUCUUCCUUCAUUUACUUUCUACCAAAAAAAUCUUCAAUCAUUAGUUCAGGUCAAUCAUUUAUGUCAAUUGUGUCCAAUUCCACAAGAUGUAUAUUCAUUUCUUGAAUGUGUAACUCAUUUUGAACAUAAAGUAAAUAAGAACAAAUUUUGACAGGUCCUAUACAUGACGUGACGUUUAAAAUGAUGUAAAUUGGUUAUGUAUUGCUGCUAUAUGACUUAAAUGUCGCCUUCAUAUUUCCUGAUAAUUGUUGAUAACGUCUCAUCAAAGGAAAAAUAAAUACAUCUGAAUGCAUUGCCAUCAACAUUGUGUGAUCUUUGACUUGCUUAAAAUCCAUUGCUUCACAUGCCAAUGCUGAGGGCCACCAAAGAGAUAUAUUUCCAACCAUAUUGCCAUCUCAUAUAAUACAUCAUCACCACAAAAAAUUCAAAUAAUCUAAGGAGUGUUUUUGGGAGAAGAAGUAUCUCUGCAUGUCAGUGCUAGUGUACCAAAUUUUGGCAAUGUUAGGAAACUUGUUUUGGUCAAGGAUGAAUUUUUUUUUUUUCCUUUCUGUUGGAAAGAGAUUUUUUUUUUUGGGAUGUUUGGUGAAUUCAUACGACUUCCCUUCUUGAACAAUCAAUACAAAUCUAGCUUAAAAACUAAAUCGCUCAUAGACACUGCAAGGACCCUACUUGGAGAUCUCAAUUGUCAGGAUGCAGCUUUAGAUGUAGAUACUUCAGCUAACGAUUAGCCCCAAUUAUUUAUGCCGCAGCAACAGAUGGCGAUCGAAAGAUCGAGAGAAAUUUGAUUCGGCGAUGAGCACUAAACAACUUUAGAAGAUGUUAGAGUGAUCUUGCCCAAAUAUGGACUAUGUGUUGAAAAUGGCCAUAUCCGAAGUUGAAUGGCCUCAAGUGGCUAGGUUUUCACACUUCAAAAAAUACUAGUCUUCCAUCGGCUCUGAUGCUUGCAUGUCUGGUGGGGAAAACAGAUCAGGGCUGCUGCGGCUUCUUGUGGCCCUGAUUGCAUCCAACAACAACCGUACACAGAUUUUUUUUUUUUAUUGUACAUUUCAAGAUUAUGCAGGGGAAAAAAUUUUGCUUAGAUUUUACUCUAUAUUUCAAGAUCCUCUUUGUACAUGAUAAAAUCUGACCAUCAUACAAAUUUAUGUCAACAUACAUAAUUGAGCCACCUAAUUAAUUGUGGGAAAUUCUGCUUUAAAUACUUGCCAUUAAGCAGAUUUGGAUGUAGUUGACAAGAUUCAAGAACGGCCUGUUCCUUUUUAUUAAUUACAAAAACUGUUUUGAAGGCUAUUUCCCUGUCCGAGAGAUCAACACAUAUAUCAUUUGUCGAUAUGCAAUGCUGAUUUGUUGGGGGAUACGACAUGGAAGCAAGUUCCAGCAGCAUUAAAUGUCUACAGAUGCUUUUCAUCCAAAAAGUUGGUGGUCACUACUUUCUCUUGCAUGAUUAGCCUCUAUAUCUAUCUAUGCAUUGGUUUCUCAGAUUAGAACUUCAUCUUCUGUGGAAAUUCUGAAGCUUUCUGAUGAAAGAAAACGUAGCAGUAAAAAUUAAUGCUAGAACUAAUUAAAGUUUUAAAAUAGGUUACUGAACAAGUCUUGAGUGGAUUUAAUACCAUUAAUUAUUUUGUUCAUUUGUCAGAUCAGAUCUGUAAUUAGAACUGGGACAAAAAACUGUCAGAUUUUCUUUUGGAUGUGAAUUACCUACACACACACACACAAAACUUUUGCACACAUUGUUAGAUUGUUAUUAUAUACUUUUUUUACGGCAACAAUAAUUUUUUUAUAAUUUAAUCUAUUCUAAUGUACAGGAAAGGAGCUUAAAGAGGCUACUUUGGAUACUCUGACACUUCCUUUGAAUUUUUUUCAUUGCAAGUAAGAUUUGAAUUCCCGAAUUUUUGGUGGCCACUGAGAUUUUGGCUCUGCGGUUAGCUUGUUAUUAUAUUCAUUUCCCACUUUUUAGUGUUUUCAGUUAUUAAAAAGCUGGAGGACUAUGUUAAGAGUGCAAAAGUAAGUUAGUGCUUUCUAAUUAUAUGGCAACAGCACGUAUAGAAAAAUAAAGGGAAAAUGAUCGGUUUCAUCCUUCACAUUUCACAAAAAUAUUCUUUUCGUCCCUCACUUUUGAAAUGAAGCAAUUUCAUCCUUGACAUUUAAAAACUGAAAUUAUUACAUCCCUAAACCUAAAUUUCAGUUUGAAUCAAACCACCAAUCAACCUGAUUACAAAUUUUGGGGGUGUAAUUGGAAGAUCACUUGGUUAACUCAACUUGAUAUUCAUGUGAAAUUUAAUGAACUUAAAAAGAAAAAAGAAAAAAUUAUAACAUAAAAAAGAAAGAUUAAUCUUUUCUACAUUAUCAUUGUAUACACUGACGGUUUUAUGUACCGUCAUAUCAUUUAAAUUUAAAUUUAAACACCAAAUUUUAUAUUUAUGAUACACAUUUAGAUUCGCAAGGGGAUAUACUAAUGGUGCAUGAAAAGAUUUAUCAAAAAAAAAAAAAUUCUACUAUUCCAAGACAAAGAAUGGCCUUUUAUGUUAUCAUAUUUAUUUUUUUGCUUUAAUAAAUGUCAUGUGAAUAUGAUGAAGUUGACCGAAUGAUCUAUCAAUUCUAUUUUCAAAAUUUAUUGCUGUGUUAUUAGAUGGUUUGAUUGAAAAUUAGGUUCAAGGAUGUAAUAGUUUUAAUUUUUAAAUGUCAAGGACGAAUUUGCUUCAUUUUAAAAGUGAGGGACGAAAAGAAUAUUUUUGCGAAAUGUAAGGGAUGAAAUAGGUCAUUUUCCCAAAAAUAAAAGGGCAAACAAAAAAAAAAAAUUUUGGGUGCUAUUCAAAAAAAAAAAGAAAACUUUGCUGCACUAUACUAUAGUAUACUAGUAUACUAUACAGUAUUAGGUAUGGCCCAAUUUUAAAUUGUUUGCAGUUGGGUCGUUGUUAUGGACUCUAUGGGUUGCUAUCAACGGACCAAUUGGACAAAGGUCACCUUAAAUGCAGCAUAUAUAACUGACUUACACCUGGAAUUUGUGCAGCUUAAUAAUUCAUUCAGGUUGUCUCUGCUCCAUGAAAUGCUUCCUCGCCAUUCUAGCCAGGGGUCGGUCUACCCCCUAGCCACUGGUCCACUACUAUGAGUUGUAUGAGAGGUUGUCGGUGCAAUUAACUCAAAAUUUUAAUGAUUAACUUUGGUCUAAAUUCCAUAAUUUACACAGUUCUUGAAAAUUUGAAGUUUCUUGUGCUAAUGGUAAAAUCGCAGUUGAAACAAAGGAAGUAAAAUCCUGCCCAUAGAGUCUUUAGCUUCGACCCCAAUCAGAACAUUAUCUAUUGAGUUGGGCCGGGAUUAAAUAUUGAGUUGGUCGAAAUGAUAGAGUUAGUAUCAUGCCUUCUGCAAUCCGAGUUUGAUUCGCUCUUGGGACCUCCACGUGUCGUACAGGGAUUGAGUUUACUCAAUGCACACUCUCGAGUAACGAGUAAGCACACUCUCGGAUAACAGUUGCGAUUCCUUUAUCAACAAAAAAAAAAUUAAAUAUUAAAGAAACACAAUCCCGUGAAAAAUGACGAGAUCAAUCUCUCGCUCCACUGCACUUCGGGUUUAGGAUCUUCCCACUCUCUUCCAUAUCUACUAGUCAUUACAUUACAUGAAUUGUUGCCGUUGGAAGUUUUCAUUCCCUUGUUGCUAGAAAAUGAUGACACCAAAAGUAAAAGAAAGCCACAUUAUUAAUGGAAUGGCAAAAAGAAAUCAACUUCCAUGCUUACAUUAUUGAUUUCCUUUCAUCUUUUUGGCAAAGAUGCUAGUAGUACUCUCUAUAUGGAUGGACUUACUCUGCUGAAAUCCAGAGCAAAAUUUUGAACAAAUGCAAAUGCAUGGAUUUGAAUAUGAUGCAUCCUUCUCUAUGGGACUUCUUUAUUCUCUUUUCAAGAGCUAUUGAGCUGCCAUAUUGAUACACAAGGAUCCCAAGCUCAAUCCUUCUCUAUGAAAAAUUCACAAGUGGUUAAAAAAAACUCCCCAAAUUAACAAAAACAAAAACAAAAAAGGAAAAGAAAAUAAAGGUAAACCCCUUCAGUGUUCUCAAUUCUACUCUACUGGAAGUCUCCCACCGACGAAAGAGAGUAAAUAGGCCUCUAAUUUUGUCAGCCAGAUCUAAGAAUCCGCGAGGAAAUGGUGAGACAGCAGCCUAGGAAAAUGAUCUCGAGUCUCUCCUAUACCGAAAGAGUUGCUAUUCCUGCUCUUUCAACCACUAAAGACUAAAGGCCCAUCGCCUUCCUUUUCAAUCUGAAAGAGAAUUUAGCCUUCACAUUUUGUUCCCUCAACUAGCUACCUGGAUCCAUUGGUGCAUGCGUUAGUGACUUUGACGUUGGACUGCAUUUUUCUUUUGCCCCUUACUUUCCCUUCCCUUCCCUUCCCCCCUCCUGCUAUUGCUGCAAAAACACGAAGGAUGCGACAAGCCAGGCUUGAGGGAUCUGUACCUCCCGUACAUGGACAUCAGCGGAUGCUCCUCAAUGCUCAUAUACAUAAAAGCAUAGAACUAGUCUUCCAUGGAAAGCUAUAUAUGCAUAUAUACUGCAUUAGAACUUCUCUCUCGAUGGUGUCAAACUGGCAAUGUGCUCAUCAUCCCACAAUUAUUUGUUUGUUCUGUAUGAAAUCCUUCCAACGUUGACACCCAUAAGCAGAAGAAGGGAGACAGCAGGACACUGCAUAGCUAAUCAUGCAACUUGUUAUGAUAAUUGUGCACAAAGGAUGGCCAUUUGAUAGCCAAACCAUCUUCUCUUUUAAAUGGUUUUAGUUAUAAAGUCAACAAUGUAAUGGUAGAACCAUAUUUGGAAAUGCCCUGAACUGAAACUUAUGUUGCAGAUAAGCAAAAGAAUAAUAAUUAACAUCAAUGAAAUCAAUUCUCAUCAUCAGAAAUCAGCAGCAUUAACUUUCUAACAGUUGUAUAAUUCAAUUACGGGAUGAUCAAGAUUUCAAAAAUGUCUGGUCGAAUUAAACCUCAAUUGAUAUACUAUAUCUUCAAUACAGGCAUCUCUUCAUGCUCAAAGAAGAGAACCUUGUAUAUCUCCAAUUCCAACAGUACAGAAAUUUACCGACUGCAAUUGAUACAAAGCGACCAAUCUUUCUUUGACCUAUCAAACUACAUUUUUUUCCGGAUAAAAAUAAUAUCUCAAAAGUUUUAUGCAAACUAUGCACCUAAGAACCUAAGGAUUUCCUUUAGUAGUUAUUCUUCUUUCUUUUUUAAGUAACACAUGCAUCAAUUAGCAGCUCCAUUCUCUUUCUGAAUCCACCGCCUUGCAUGUUUUCCUGAACUUCGUCCUCUGUGUGAAUGCUUCCUGCCACUGAAGUUUCUAUGCUUGCUGGUGCUAGGCCUAUUUGAUGGAACACUUGGUGUUGCUCCUGAUCCCACAACUCCAUCUUCACUUUGUUGCCCAUCGGUUUCUUUCUCCGAGGAAAUUGAAGAUGGUGGAGCCGACCGAGGUAGAAACAUACCAGGCAACAGUACUUCGUGCUUUUUGGGUUCAAUUAAGCCAUCAUUCUCUUUCUGAAGUUUCAAUAUGGCCUCAUAUUUCUGCCUUCUACUUUUCUCCGAAUAAGACUGAAGAAGAUUAUCCUCGUCUACGGAUUCAGUUCCACUCGAACUCUAUUUUUCAUCAAGGAGGAUUAAUAUCGUGAGAAAAAAUUGACAUAAGAUGGAGUCAGGAUAAGAAAUUCCCCACGCCAUAUGUAAAAGCAAUAUAAAUUGCCUAGGCAACCAAUUUAGAAUAUUCCUAACCCAAUUCUAUGUUAAAAGAGUAUUCCUAACCUAAUUUCAGGCAUUACUAAAAUCACUGCUGUUAGAAAGAAAAGAAAUGGCACAUCUGAGCAUCCACUUAGAUAAAGGAAAAUCAGAGUCUCCCAUCCCCACCUCUCUUCUCCUGCCCUCUUUUAUUUUUCUUCUCCUCAUCCCCUCUCUUGUUGCUCUUCUUUCUUCGCUCUUCUUCUGGGCCUUUUUAAUGAUCGCACUUGGUUAGUCUUCUCUCUUAGCCAUUUAUAAAAUUUUCCUAUUUCAUACUUAUACUUGCUUUUCAGUUGCUUUAGGCUCAGAACAGUGGGAGUUCAUACUUUUAACAGAUUAAAAUUUUUAUGCUCUAUGUUCCUUUCACUUUAACAUAGCCGGCUCUAUCAGCUAUAUCUAAAGCAGGAUCUUUAGGCUAUGACGCGCUAUGGAUGACAAACAACUAUGAUUUUGAGCCAAUGUCUUAAAUGAUACUCCCUCUGUCCCAAUAAAAGGGAUGCUUUCCAAAAUUAUAAAUUUUCAAAAACAGUUCAAGCAGAUUUGAAUUUGAGCUGUUUGUGCCAUCUUUGCCCCCAUUCAUAAGUGCAAAAACUCAUAGCGUCAGAAUUGUUAUGACAAAAGAUGCCGUUGGUCCUACGGCAUUUCAAAUCCAUUUUAUAGACUGUAAGAACCACACACCAAAGUUGACCACAUAUAUUUGUGGUGCCUCUCACACGCCACUCCUUUCUUCCAAAUGCAUCCAUUUGUGGGUCCCAAUAACUCUUUUAUCAAUACCCUAUUCUUGAAGGUAACACUGAAAUGUUUGAUAGAAGAAUUGUAGAAUGACUCAAAUUUUGGGGCAGUGAAAACGGUGAAACAUCACAAUAACAAUGGGAUGGAGGGAGUAUUACAUUUGCAGAAAUUUGGAAAAGGUUGACAACAUUUAUUGUUAGAUAAAUACUCUUUGAAAUUGAAACUAACAUUCCUCCUCAAAAUUGUCAAUUAUUUCUACUUGUUACUAGGACAUGUUUUGUUGCAGUGUAAACAAGCUGCCACUUGGUUUGAAACUCAAUCAGCUAACCCCACUUAGUGACAACCUAUAUAUAGACAAAUUAGAUUUUGGUCUUAAACAAUACUUUUAACUAAGUAAACCUGUUCCAAGCCUUUACAAAAUGCUCCCUGAAACAGUUGUCUGACAUUGUGAAGCUAAUUUCAUUUAUUGUAAGUUGGAGGGGGAGUUCUAAUAUUUUUCAUCCUUGAGAAGAUCAGGCAAUGAUUGUGUCACCAAAACUUAUAGACGGUAUCUGUAGUAAACCUUAAUAUGCCAUGACUAUUCAUAUGCAAUAUGCUUUUAAAUUAGAGCUAGCCAAUAAGUAGAUAAUUCAGUUUAUUCAGCAUGUAAACCACAUGAAAUCAUAAUGGUUUAGCAGGUUGAAGGAGUUUGUUGACUUACCAAAUGAUAGUCAGUUCCGACCAAGUCAAGUACAUGUUCAAUAUCCUUUGCAAGAAAAACUUUACGACAAACAGGACACUCUCCCAUCCUUUCUUCAGUAAUUUCGCACAUACCUGCGCACAACAAUAAGUCCGUAAUAACCCAGGUUCAGCAGAUAUCACAACCUUGAGAAUAAUGCUGAACUAGAGCAUCCACUACUAAAACUACCAGCACUUGAUGGUUUCUAUAUUUGCAAGUAAUUUUUAAAGCAGGUUCAACUGCUUGGUUCAUAAAUACAUUUCCUACCCUCUUUUACACUAUGAGAUAGCUGGGCAAUGAGCAAUAUUCUCCAGCGACUUUGAGUUUACAAGUCAAAUACCAUAACCUGAGUUAACUGUCUAUACUAGAUGGCGAUAGUUUGAGGACUAUUUUUAUAAAACUAUAUCAAUGUUUGUGGCAGUCAGGAACGUUUUUUGGCUUGAUAUCGCUUUUCCACUACUGUUAUAUAUGCUAUAAUUGCGCUAGCUUUCAUAUGCUAACUUCUCAAAAAACAAUGACAAUAAUCAGUUGGGUUUUCCCAAGUGGUUGAGAAUAAGAGCUUCAAGAGUAAGUUAAAUCAGUGAAAAUGUAACCAAAAGAAAAAAAAAAGAAAAAAUGAAUCACACGAGAAUAGGUUAUAUAAACAUAUAAAUUUGAGGAGCAAAAACCAGACAAAGAGAGGGUAGGAAACCCCCAACCUCAGUCCCACAGUUGCCUACACUGUGACCUGCAGCUAAAUUGCUGCAGAUAAGGCAGCAUAAAUUUGUCUUUUUGCUUUACCUCAAACAGAAGAUUGUUAUUUUGUUUUUUAUUUACUAUUCCUUUUUUGGUUGAAUAGCUAGAUAAAUGUAAUAAGAAGAGUAUUGCAAAUGGUUCCUAUUAUGAAGCACCUUCUUGGUCUUCCAUGUCCUUGAUAGAUGUGACAGAACAAGAAGCAUUUGCAUGAUCCAAUUCUUUUUGAGCUUGAAGCCAGUUCCACCAUCUGAUGAUGCAUUCACUGCAAUCAUUAUAAAGCACAUCAGGAAACCCCAGUACAAAAGUUUAGCCAAAUGUUACCUGAAAAAGAUAACAAUUCCCAUUACAACAAAAUGCACGAGGCUAUUUCACCGAGAACUCUACUUACCAGUGAAAGCAAUGAAAACAGGACAUCAACUUCAUAAAUGGCAAUGAGUCAUUGCCAUCUUUCUCAUCGAGUAAUGGAUUCAAGCAUAAUGGGCAAUCGCCAUCUGGAUGAUUCAUACUAGAGAGCUUCUCCACUGCUUCCUAACAAUACAUCCAAGUUCAUCAAUAGCUUGAACAUGUGUUAAUUAUUAAUUGCUAUGAAAAUUUCAUAUGCACCAUCAAUGUGCUAUAUAACUACUCUAAAGCAACAAAAACACUAUUUGACCGAUUGAUCAGUGGCCCAAGAAUAAUAAGCAUACAUCCAUCACUAAAAUUUCUGUCUUUCAACGAAAACAUAAUUAAUUAAAUGAUAACUACAAUUUGGGCAAAACAAGGCAAUCUUUUACGAGCAGUAAAACAAAAGAUUACCUCACAUAGUGCAACAAGCAUCAAACACGAGGAGAGUUCAAUGGCCUUGUCCCUUAUACUAGCUAUUAACUGAUUUUGCCUCACAUCAUCUAAACCCUUUGAAUC